rnacentral:rRNA from 1 species
UACGGGGGGGGCAAGCGUUGUUCGGAAUUACUGGGCGUAAAGGGCGCGUAGGCGGUCUGCUAAGUUGGAUGUGAAAACUCUGGGCUUAACCCAGAGCCUGCAUUCAAUACUGACAGGCUAGAGUUCUGGAGGGGAUAGCGGAAUUCCUGGUGUAGCGGUGAAAUGCGCAGAUAUCAGGAAGAACACCCGUGGCGAAGGCGGCUCUCUGGAACGCAACUGACGCUGAGACGCGAAAGCGUGGGGAGCAAACAGG